GAAGGAAUCAGGAGGCAGAGCACAUGGUUAAAGCAUGAGAUGUGAAACCAGGAAGAACCAGGUCUGAACCUUAGCUCCACCAGUGGUAGCUUCAAACCUUGGUCCUUUCUGAGCCUGCUUCUUCAACCGUAAGGGAACGCUACACUUCCUUAGAAAUUAAGAGUGUGUGCUACACUGCUUUACCAGAGCAAGGCCAAAAGCAGCUUCAAUUAUGGUACAACUGUGUGAAGACACAAUGCAAAACCACUCAAGAAUGCUCACUCAAAUGGAUUUUUACCAUGCUCAUCCCCUAUUCUCUUCUUGCAAUCGGGAUGCUGCCUGACUACCAACACACCUGCACAAAGCCCUCUGCAGCACCUGCCACUGGCCCAUGCUUUUGUCAUUGCCACCUCCAGCUCAGCCUCAUUCCCCUCCAGGCUCUGCUCCAACGCACAGGACCACAGGAACUCGGAAACGGGACCCAGAAAGUUGUUUUCUCAAGUGGAUGGAACAACACAAGCAAUCAGUAUCCUGAAACAGGCCCUGUUCCAACAAACUGACCCAGAAAGGUCUGGUUAGGAGGACAGGACCCUCACUAUACACUAUCACAUUUAAACUAAAAGGAUAUUAUGAAUUAUGUACACAUAUCAAGCUGAGAGGAAAGGAAAUCCUAUCAUCUUGCAGGCUUCCUAAUGAUCUUACUUAAAACUGAGUUACUGC
rnacentral:lncRNA from 1 species